ensembl:lncRNA
CUGUUUAUUCAGAGCUUGCUGUAGAGAGGGAGGCAGCCACCACCACUUGCGUUUGGCCAAGACUCAAAGGCAGGCAGAGGGGUGGAAGAGCUUUACAGUAAAGGCUCCAGGGGUGCCCCAAUUGGAGGCUGUUGGCCUGGGGAAGCUGGAGGAGGGCUAACCGGGAGUGGGGUGUCCUGUGGGGUUGGUUGGGGGUGCAUAUUUGGCUUUCUCUGGUUGGUCCUAAGUUGGAAGCAGGGCCAAAAAUUAGGGAAGCUGGCCAUUUUGAGUGGAUUGUUACGUAAGUUAUUAUUUAGCUUCCUGGAUUGUCACCAGAGAGAGCAAUCUGGCUCUGUGCAAGCCUGGCAUAGCAGGCAGGCUUCCUGAGCUGUUUGUUGUAGACAGGGGCUGGUUUCCUGCGUAGGCUGCUGCCGGUUGUGAUCAGAGUUCUGUUUGUGUAUAUGGCCCAGCCACUGUCUGUUCAUAUAUUCAGUCUCUCACAUCAUUUGGUGUCAAACGAGGAAGCUUUCCGGAUGGGUGUGUAUCCCAGGUACAGGAAAAUGCAAGAGGGUGUGUGCAUUGGUAUUGGUUGUUUUUCUCAGAAAACAGCUGUUAAUAGCACCAUGACAGGAGAACUUCUUAAAUUAAAGGGUAAAUGGAAGCUCAGGGGCCGAGCUGCAGGAAUCCCAUCAGUGGUAAUAGGAGGCGUGUGGUUAAGUGCCCACACACCGGGCUGCAAAUUGCCCCUUAAAUAUUUUGAUAAUAAAAAAGCAUGAAGAGGACUGAGUCCACGCUGAGCAUCUUCCACCUGCCCUGAUCUCAUCCUCUCAGGAAAAAACCAGCUUCCAUGGGCUCUAUGAAAUGGAAUGAGUGGGCUGGACACACUAAAUUAGCCCCAGACGCCAACAGAAUGAAUGUCUCCACAAACGGGGCAGGACGAGGUAGGCGGGAAGAUUCCUUCCAGUGGUGGUGACAGACCAUUUCCUCUCCUUCCAGAGAGGGCCAAUUGAUUAACUAAAUCCUUGGCUCCCCUGAGAAGAGCAGUGAAUAAAGCGAAGAUUAAGCUCGAAGGAGACAGAAUCUCUUCAGAUCAGGAGACUGAAGCAAAGAAAAACUGCUCACUUCAGCUUCACUGCAUCCGUCUCCAAAAUUGCAUCAGCACAGCCCUUUGCCACAUGAUGAACGAAACUCUCAUGCUGAGUGAUUCUCGCUCAAAUAUCCCAUUACGGGGAGCUAGAUCCUCACUUUCCUUGUUUCCAAAUAUCUGAACCUCUGCUUCACACAGCGACUAUUGGGCAUGUUCCUUCCCAGAGAGGAAGAAAAUAACAACAAACUACCCAGAGCCAGGGUACCAUUUCCUUCAGCUUCAAUCUCCUGCCCAUACUGUGCUUUUCCAUCAGUCAAGAGCCGGGGUGGCUGACCAGCCUGGGCAGCUUCCAGAAGUCACCCUUGGAGAAGGCAUGGUGAGAGGCACAACUGUCCUGCUAUGUCUCCAUGUCUUUCAUUUUACAUGAGUUCAGAGCUCAGAAUCAGCCGUCCCCGCUGUGGGAGUGGGAAAGUCAACAAAUGAACCACAUUUAUAAAGUCCUGGACGUUGUGCUUGUUGAUUCUGGAAAAUACCAAAAAAAAAAAAAAAUACAUAAAGCUGCUUACCAAGCCCGAAGGAUAUACAUGUAACUGAGAAUAAAAAAACAUGCAGUACGAAAUGUAGCCAUUUAUUCAUUUCCCAAAUAGUUAUUGAACAUCCAUGAUCUACCAGGCAAUGGGAUUUCAGAGAUGUGAAAGUCAUUGUCCCUGCCCUCAAGUAGCUUAUGGUCUAGAAAUUCAACAUCCAAUCUAGAUUCAGUCCAUGCCUCAAUCUUGUCAAUUUUACCUUCUAAUUUAUCUCUCAAAGUUGUCUACUAAGAUACCAUCUGCUC